GCAGUAGCCACGGUAAUACGUAGGUCCUGAGCGUUGUCCGGAUUUAUUGGGCGUAAAGCGAGCGCAGGCGGUUAGAUAAGUCUGAAGUUAAAGGCUGUGGCUUAACCAUAGUACGCUUUGGAAACCGUUUAACUUGAGUGCAAGAGGGGAGAGCGGAAUUCCAUGUGUAGCGGUGAAAUGCGUAGAUAUAUGGAGGAACACCGGUGGCGAAAGCGGCUCUCUGGCUUGUAACUGACGCUGAGGCUCGAAAGCGUGGGGAGCAAACAGGAUUAGAUACCCGCGUAGUCCCUGUCUCUUAUACA
rnacentral:rRNA from 1 species